ACGAAUUACUCGAGCUUCAUGCACCAGCUUAGGUUCCUCGACGACCAGAUUGUGCUGUGCUUGGCUGCGGUGAACCGUGCGAGGGCGUUGCUCGUCCAGCAGAUACAUCGUUGACCACCGACGCCCAGGUUCUUCCUCUUAUUAUUGCUUGAGAUGCAGUGUUCAAGGAAUUUUGAUUCAUCCAACCAAAAGACAUGCUCAUUACAAGAUGAUUUUUGCAGUGAUAAUGUAUGUACCUCAUGUCCAUGCUCUUUGUAUAAUAUAGUCACUUGAGGAGCAAACCUAAGGAUUCAAUGAAUGCAUGAAUAUACUAUGUAAUACCUCAAUUCCAUGUAAUUUAUACAUACCCAUCCUUUUCCUCCUUCAAUGUCACUACAACAUAUUCAACUACAGAAAAAGAAAAGCAAGAUGUAAAAAAGGAUUUAAUAUGACGGGGAGAGCUGAAAACAAAAAAAAAUGGGAAAAAGCCAUUCGUGCAGUUGAUUCUUCCAAUCAAGAUGGGAUCUCUGAAAGUCCAUCAUCGCCUUUCAUCCCUGUCACUAAACUAAUAGCAAUAUUAUCCAAGUCUUUGGAACAUGGAAAAAAAAAAAUCUCCUUAAUGAAAGAGAUUCAGAAGAGACUGAAGAGUUUUAUGGAUCGAGAAGACGAUGACUCGCCAUGAAAUGACUAGCUAAUCUAUUAUCGGGGAUGAUGAUUUGCUUGUUCCAAUCAUCAAAACUAAUAACGCUUAGUUAAUGGCGAUAACUGUACAACCCCCAAAUCAGAUUGAUGCGCCAGAUGAGGUCAAGGAAAUAAAAUAUGAGUGUUGGAAAUAAAACGAGUGUUAUGUUACGAGGACAAUGAAAAAUAAAGGAAUAUUUUGUCA